UUAAUCACAAUUAAAUGGGAACGCCGGUAUUCCCAAAUCUGGGAAAACAUUGCUCUGUUGAGGAUUGCCGGCUCAUCGAUUUCUUGCCUUUCACCUGCGAUUGCUGUCACAAGGCGUAGUUGUUGUAUAGUUGCUUGGUUGUGGUGGGGGUGGGAGGAGGACAAAAAAUUGCUGAAGAUUUGUAUUGUGGGAGAAAUUGGGUUGAAGGAAAUGUGAAGGAAUUUCUGUUCAAUGUUGAGCAUUUUGUGCUUUUCCUCCUCAGUGUUGUCAAAGGCGCGCUUAAGCGCUAAAGCGAGGCUCAAAACAUGUUGAGCGCUUUGCCUCGCUUAGCGGACGCUUUAGUGUUGUCAUCAACGCUCUAAGACAUACUUUUCCUCGCCAAUGAGCGUAAUCAUGAAGAGGCAGACCUAAACAAUUAAUUUUUUUUGAUGAAGUAAGAGAUAUUAUAAAAAGCAUCAAGAAGAUGCAAAAGAGCACUGUCCAGGUGCUAAUACAAAAGAUGAUAUGUUAGCUCUGUACAGAUGGUCCUAUGCUAGUGUUAGGGAGCUAACAAAAUCCAAAAAUAAUUCGGGGGAGCUAAUAGGGGAGAGGUUACUCCAGCUAUAUAACAAAACUAUACAAUUAGUUUUCAAGGAGUAAUUAGGAGUUGCUAAACCCUCUAAACAUUUUCUAUUCCUUUCUGUCCAAAUAGCCCAAAAAAUACAUCCAGGAAUCAUUUUCCAGAUCUUGCUGAUGGAUUUACCAACUUUCCAUCGACUCCAGCUACUAUAAGCAUCUUUAGUACUCUCUGGCAUCACCCAGUUGAGUCCUAAAACUGAAAGGAACAUAUUCCAAAUAUCCGUAAGCAACUGGACAAUGCAAAAAUAGAUGUCUGUUUGUUUCAAAAUCCUGCUGGCACAUGUAGCAUCUAUUAACUAUGGGAAUACUCCUUUCGCAAAGAUUAUCUUGAGUGAGGCACGCUUCCUUCAAUGCAGUCCAGCUAUGACAUAUAACUUUGGGGGUAAUUUUGUUUUCCAGAUGAGCUUCCAAGGCCAAUUGUCCACCAUUUCAUUUUGGCUAAUAUUAUGUAGGUAUCCUGCUUUCACUGUGUAUAUUCCUUUAGUACUUGCUCCCCAUAUGAGUUUAUCUGGAAGCUGCUCAUUGACCAUGCAUUUCUCCAAUUGGUCCAGAAGGCUAAGUAAUUCAUCCAGUUCCCAGUCUUGCACAUUUCUUCUGAGGAUUGGAAACCAAGAAUUGUCUGCUCUAUUCUGAUAGACAGUUGAAUCAGGGGCAAAAUGCAAGUAGAUGAUAUUCAGUAUGAUGGACUCAGCUUUGUCUAUAUGAGGGCCAUUUCCGCAUCGCAAAAGUGUUUUGUCUAGAACAUCGGAGCUAUAAUAGACACGAAUGUCCAACAGCUAAUAAGAAUAAUGUCACAGUGGUCAUUUGCCCGCUCUGUGCCAAAGGCGUACGCCUUAUUCCUGAU